rnacentral:rRNA from 1 species
AACGAACGCUGGCGGCAUGCCUUACACAUGCAAGUCGAACGAGAUCUUCGGGUCUAGUGGCGCACGGGUGCGUAACGCGUGGGAAUCUGCCCUUUGGUUCGGAAUAACAGUUGGAAACGACUGCUAAUACCGGAUGAUGACGAAAGUCCAAAGAUUUAUCGCCAGAGGAUGAGCCCGCGUAGGAUUAGCUAGUUGGUGUGGUAAAGGCGCACCAAGGCGACGAUCCUUAGCUGGUCUGAGAGGAUGAUCAGCCACACUGGGACUGAGACACGGCCCAGACUCCUACGGGAGGCAGCAGUGGGGAAUAUUGGACAAUGGGCGAAAGCCUGAUCCAGCAAUGCCGCGUGAGUGAUGAAGGCCUUAGGGUUGUAAAGCUCUUUUACCCGGGAUGAUAAUGACAGUACCGGGAGAAUAAGCUCCGGCUAACUCCGUGCCAGCCGCCGCCGGUAA